UGGGGAAUUUUGGACAAUGGGCGAAAGCCUGAUCCAGCAAUGCCGCGUGUGUGAAGAAGGCCUUCGGGUUGUAAAGCACUUUUGUCCGGAAAGAAAUCCUUGGCUCUAAUACAGUCGGGGGAUGACGGUACCGGAAGAAUAAGCACCGGCUAACUACGUGCCAGCAGCCGCGGUAAUACGUAGGGUGCAAGCGUUAAUCGGAAUUACUGGGCGUAAAGCGUGCGCAGGCGGUUUGCUAAGACCGAUGUGAAAUCCCCGGGCUCAACCUGGGAACUGCAUUGGUGACUGGCAGGCUAGAGUAUGGCAGAGGGGGGUAGAAUUCCACGUUAGCAGUGAAAUGCGUAGAGAUGUGGAGGAAUACCGACGGCGAAGGCAGCCCC
rnacentral:rRNA from 1 species